rnacentral:rRNA from 1 species
AUUGAACGCUGGCGGCAGGCCUAACACAUGCAAGUCGAGCGGAUGAAGGGAGCCUGCUCCUGGAUUCAGCGGCGGACGGGUGAGUAAUGCCUAGGAAUCUGCCUGGUAGUGGGGGAUAACGUCCGGAAACGGGCGCUAAUACCGCAUACGUCCUGAGGGAGAAAGUGGGGGAUCUUCGGACCUCACGCUAUCAGAUGAGCCUAGGUCGGAUUAGCUAGUUGGUGGGGUAAAGGCCUACCAAGGCGACGAUCCGUAACUGGUCUGAGAGGAUGAUCAGUCACACUGGAACUGAGACACGGUCCAGACUCCUACGGGAGGCAGCAGUGGGGAAUAGUGGACAAUGGGCGAAAGCCUGAUCCAGCCAUGCCGCGUGUGAAGAAGGUCUUCGGAUUGUAAAGCACUUUAAGUUGGGAGGAAGGGCAGUAAGUUAAUACCUUGCUGUUUUGACGUUACCAACAGAAUAAGCACCGGCUAACUUCGUG